UGACGAACUUCGAGCCGACCUGAGUCGACCCACCAGAUCGUCAAUGUCCGAUCGAACCGCGGGUGAAACCGUUACCCGCGGCCCGAACACGGGAGAGAACGCUGAGCGUCACCAC
rfam:Nocardia terpenica strain IFM 0406 genomic scaffold scaffold1, whole genome shotgun sequence.